rnacentral:lncRNA from 1 species
AGCAUGCCUCGAUUUGUAGUUCACCGAGACUUCCUGCCACCGCAGCAACAACGGGGGCUCUACUCAGACCCCAGGACUGGAGGAGAGGACCCUGUCGGGCUGUAGUAGCUCGGAGCCGAUGGCCGACCCGCCGCCGCUUGGUGGAAAACCAAUGCUCUGAGGGUUGGGAAUAGGAAUGAGAAGAAAACACGCAAUGGGAGGCACAGUUAAGGUGUGGACUUUGGCUCUGAAGGACAGUGACCUCAAUGGGAAAGAAGACAAUGAUGAAUGAGGGGAAGGAGGAGCUCAAGCUGCCCUGGUGCUGGAGGACAAGCUCUCUCUGACUUCAGGAAAGAUGUUGAAGGUAGACGGCAUCUUCCAACUUCCGGAGCUUCCAGGGACAUUAAAUUUAUUUAUGUUUAAAUAAAUAUUUACCUAACCUUU